rnacentral:rRNA from 1 species
CCUACGGGAGGCAGCAGUGGGGAAUAUUGCACAAUGGGGGAAACCCUGAUGCAGCGACGCCGCGUGAGCGAUGAAGUAUUUCGGUAUGUAAAGCUCUAUCAGCAGGGAAGAAAAUGACGGUACCUGACUAAGAAGCCCCGGCUAACUACGUGCCAGCAGCCGCGGGAAUACGUAGGGGGCAAGCGUUAUCCGGAUUUACUGGGUGUAAAGGGGGCGUAGACGGUCCUGCAAGCCAGAUGUGAAAGCCCGGGGCUCAACCCCGGGACUGCAUUUGGAACUGUAAGGCUAGAGUGUCGGAGAGGCAGGCGGAAUUCCUGGUGUAGCGGUGAAAUGCGUAGAUAUUAGGAGGAACACCAGUGGCGAAGGCGGCCUGCUGGACGAUAACUGACGUUGAGGCUCGAAAGCGUGGGGAGCAAACAGGAUUAGAUACCCGUGUAGUC